AUGCCAAUUAGGGGCAGGUUCCAAUGGCCCAAGGUAAAUCCUAGAUUUGAUAUGAUCCCUCCAAACUUAAAGAGUGUUGGACGUCCAAGAACUAGGAGGAUAGAAAAUUACGUCGAAGGUGGAACCGACAGAAAACAUAAAUGCAAAAGGUCUGGAGCAUUAGGCCAUCUUCAAAAGACUUGCAAGGAGCCAGAGAUGGAAAGUGAUGCGGUCCGAGAUGCUACUCCUCCGCAGUAUGUCUUUCAUGAGUCUAAUUUCUUUCACUUAUAUACUAAUUUUAUGAUACUCCUCCAUGGUAUUUCUUUCAUGAGCCUAAUUUCUUUCAUUUGUAUAUUUAUUUCAUGA
rnacentral:rRNA from 1 species